rnacentral:rRNA from 1 species
UACGUAGGUGGCGAGCGUUGUCCGGAUUUACUGGGCGUAAAGCGCGCGCAGGCGGACUGAUCAGUCUGGGGUGAAAUCUCACGGCUCAACUGUGAGCGGUCCCUGGAUACUGUCAGUCUUGAGAUGUCUAGAGGAGAGCGGAAUUCCCGGUGUAGUGGUGGAAUGCGUAGAUAUCGGGAGGAACACCAGUGGCGAAAGCGGCUCUCUGGGGACCAUCUGACGCUGAGGCGCGAAAGCGUGGGGAGCGAACCGG